GAGGACUGCCAGCAGGCUGUCACCUCUCACCAGGUUGGCAGAAAAAGAAAACAUUAGCAGCCAAAUUAGCCAGUCUGCCUGUGGAAUGAAGGCUCCAGUUUUUGACCUCUAAUGAAAGAAGAAAGAAUACUCAUUGAGGUUUCAGCUGCUUGGGGCCAUUUAGGCAUGGAUUUUCUUCUGCCUCUGCCACCUGGAGACAGGAAGACCAACCCCUCCUGCCCUCCUCCUCCCUAGCCUAGCCAAUGUGAAGAUGACAAGAAUGAAGACGUUUAUGAUGAUCCACUUCCACUUGA
rnacentral:lncRNA from 1 species